GAUGAACGCUGGCGGCGUGCCUAAUACAUGCAAGUCGAGCGAACAGACGAGGAGCUUGCUCCUCUGACGUUAGCGGCGGACGGGUGAGUAACACGUGGAUAACCUACCUAUAAGACUGGGAUAACUUCGGGAAACCGGAGCUAAUACCGGAUAAUAUAUUGAACCGCAUGGUUCAAUAGUGAAAGACGGUUUUGCUGUCACUUAUAGAUGGAUCCGCGCCGCAUUAGCUAGUUGGUAAGGUAACGGCUUACCAAGGCGACGAUGCUUAGCCGACCUGAGAGGGAGAUCGGCCACCCGGGCACUGAGACACGGUCCAGACUCCUACGGGGGGCAGCAGUAGGGACUCUUCCGCAAUGGGCGAAAGCCUGACGGAGCACCGCCGCGUGAGUGAUGAAGGUCUUCGGAUCGUAGAGCUCUGUUAUUAGGGAAGAACAAAUGUGUAAGUAACUAUGCACGUCUUGACGGUACCUAAUCAGAAAGCCACGGCUAACUACGUG
rnacentral:rRNA from 1 species